CACGUGUACCCUGUAUGGUCUAAGGAAUGGAACUGCAACACAGAAUACUUACUACCACAGCCGUAUAAAUCUUCCACCGGAUAACUCCCUUGAGGAAGUCGCGCGGAGUAAGCCAACAUUUUCAACUCCGCAAUAUGGAAGCCAAUUCGCUCGCUUAGCGGUUGACGGAGACUUAACCGAUACUACAAUGUACCACUCCGGUCUUUUUGUCAAGCCCUGGUGGCAAGUUGACCUCACAGAAGAGAGAGUCAUUUUCCAAGUCCAGAUCUUCCCAAGGCAACAUACACUUUUUUUUAAAAGGUUCACGUCUAUGGAGGUUCGAGUGGGAAGAGUGUACAAGGAUGAUGGCAAUUUAACAUCUUACUUUCUCCUCUGCUCAUACCUGAAGGUAUACGAAAAAGCGGAAGGCCACAUUCUGUGCUCAAGCCAUACUGGCAUUGUUGGCAGAUACGUCAGUAUACAAAAAGUUACCGCUGAAGCCACUUACAUGCAAUUCAAUGAUGUGAAUGUAUUCGUUCUGAAGAAAUAAUUGAUUUAAGUUAGACCUAUCCUGCCCUACCAUUCUUUUACCAGCUCAAAGGCUGGAUACAAAGAGAGGGGUUAAGUCUUAAUUUUACUUCCUUGUUAGACUUCAAAGCAUUAAUGCAAUGUGCAACAAACAUUCGGUGUCUUUUGUGAGUGGCAGGGGUCCAAAUUUAUUGUUUCUGAUAAAGGUGACAGUUCCAAUGAUAUUUUCUGAAAAUCAGACAAUCCUUUAUUUCGAGUGUCCUCUUGUUUUAUCUUUAACAUUACACCUACAAGAAUGAUGCUAAUGAUUUGUUUUUUCUUUAAAAAAAUUGUAGGUUUUAAUCUUCAUGUAAUAUUUCACUGAUGUUACAUAACGCUGGACCAUUAUAGUUACUAUUUGUGUGAGCAAAAUAUCAAUGUCAGUUUUAACCACUGUCAUUUAAUCAUAGUCAGUCUCUUUCUGUAUCACUUGUCAGUCGUGUUUUGCUAUCAGACAUUUGCACAAAGGUAAAUUAUUAUUGUUACUGAAGGAAUGAAGAGACAAUAACAAUAAGGUUUCGGUAAAAAAAAAAAAAUAGAUUUUAGUAUUCAAGGCAAACCGGUAACCAUAACCAAUGUCAGACCUCAGGCAGGUGUGUUUGCCGUAACCCAAAUACCAAGGGCUAAAGGGAUUUGCUAAAGCUUAAUUCAUUUCUAUAACUCAAGUGUAAUUGACCAAUUCGCGUGGCCAAUCUUAGUAUAGACAAACCUUAGUACCACGACGUUGUAAUAAAAUUCACUGAUUACACAGUUACUAUAAUUACACACACACCCGCUUUAGUCCCAGGUAGGCCUGUCUCUAAAAAUGUCGGCGUUAGUUCCAAGGCCACGCCUGGAUACAGAUGUUUCUUCUCCAUUUUUAUGUAAUACGAUAGAUUUUUGGGGUUCCACAAGGCUGAAUUAUCCAGAAUUUGUUGUUUUCUGUUUCGCUUGUCCUCUAAACUGUUACUGUUUUCUUCUGUAUAUACACGCACAGGUGUACCAGUCUCA